rnacentral:rRNA from 1 species
AGAGUUUGAUCCUGGCUCAGGACGAACGCUGGCGGCGUGCCUAAUACAUGCAAGUAGAACGCUGAAGGAGGAGCUUGCUUCUCUGGAUGAGUUGCGAACGGGUGAGUAACGCGUAGGUAACCUGCCUGGUAGCGGGGGAUAACUAUUGGAAACGAUAGCUAAUACCGCAUAAGAGUGGAUGUUGCAUGACAUUUGCUUAAAAGGUGCACUUGCAUCACUACCAGAUGGACCUGCGUUGUAUUAGCUAGUUGGUGGGGUAACGGCUCACCAAGGCGACGAUACAUAGCCGACCUGAGAGGGUGAUCGGCCACACUGGGACUGAGACACGGCCCAGACUCCUACGGGAGGCAGCAGUAGGGAAUCUUCGGCAAUGGACGGAAGUCUGACCGAGCAACGCCGCGUGAGUGAAGAAGGUUUUCGGAUCGUAAAGCUCUGUUGUAAGAGAAGAACGAGUGUGAGAGUGGAAAGUUCACACUGUGACGGUAUCUUACCAGAAAGGGACGGCUAACUACGUGCCAGCAGCCGCGGUAAUACGUAGGUCCCGAGCGUUGUCCGGAUUUAUUGGGCGUAAAGCGAGCGCAGGCGGUUAGAUAAGUCUGAAGUUAAAGGCUGUGGCUUAACCAUAGUAGGCUUUGGAAACUGUUUAACUUGAGUGCAAGAGGGGAGAGUGGAAUUCCAUGUGUAGCGGUGAAAUGCGUAGAUAUAUGGAGGAACACCGGUGGCGAAAGCGGCUCUCUGGCUUGUAACUGACGCUGAGGCUCGAAAGCGUGGGGAGCAAACAGGAUUAGAUACCCUGGUAGUCCACGCUGUAAACGAUGAGUGCUAGGUGUUAGACCCUUUCCGGGGUUUAGUGCCGUAGCUAACGCAUUAAGCACUCCGCCUGGGGAGUACGACCGCAAGGUUGAAACUCAAAGGAAUUGACGGGGGCCCGCACAAGCGGUGGAGCAUGUGGUUUAAUUCGAAGCAACGCGAAGAACCUUACCAGGUCUUGACAUCCCUCUGACCGCUCUAGAGAUAGAGCUUUCCUUCGGGACAGAGGUGACAGGUGGUGCAUGGUUGUCGUCAGCUCGGGCGUGAGAUGUUGGGUUAAGUCCCGCAACGAGCGCAACCCCAUUGUUAGUUGCCAUCAUUUAGUUGGGCACUCUAGCGAGACUGCCGGUAAUAAACCGGAGGAAGGUGGGGAUGACGUCAAAUCAUCAUGCCCCUUAUGACCUGGGCUACACACGUGCUACAAUGGCUGGUACAACGAGUCGCAAGCCGGUGACGGCAAGCUAAUCUCUUAAAGCCAGUCUCAGUUCGGAUUGUAGGCUGCAACUCGCCUACAUGAAGUCGGAAUCGCUAGUAAUCGCGGAUCAGCACGCCGCGGUGAAUACGUUCCCGGGCCUUGUACACACCGCCCGUCACACCACGAGAGUUUGUAACACCCGAAGUCGGUGAGGUAACCGUAAGGAGCCAGCCGCCUAAGGUGGGAUAGAUGAUUGGGGUGAAGUCGUAACAAGGUAGCCGUAUCGGAAGGUGCGGCUGGAUCACCU